rnacentral:rRNA from 1 species
GACGAACGCUGGCGGCGUGCUUAACACAUGCAAGUCGAACGAAGAGCGAUGGAAGCUUGCUUCUAUCAAUCUUAGUGGCGAACGGGUGAGUAACGCGUAAUCAACCUGCCCUUCAGAGGGGGACAACAGUUGGAAACGACUGCUAAUACCGCAUACGAUCUAAUCUCGGCAUCGAGGAUAGAUGAAAGGUGGCCUCUACAUGUAAGCUAUCACUGAAGGAGGGGAUUGCGUCUGAUUAGCUAGUUGGAGGGGUAACGGCCCACCCAGGCGAUGAUCAGUAGCCGGUCUGAGAGGAUGAACGGCCGCAUUGGGACUGAGACACGGCCCAGACUCCUACGGGAGGCAGCAGUGGGGAAUCUUCCGCAAUGGACGAAAGUCUGACCGAGCAACGCCGCGUGAGCGAUGACGGCCUUCGGGUUGUAAAGCUCUGUUAAUCGGGACGAAAGGCCUUCUUGCGAAUAGUGAGAAGGAUUGACGGUACCGGAAUAGAAAGCCACGGCUAACUACGUG